rnacentral:misc_RNA from 1 species
CGGCUUGUCACCGGCAGUUUCUCCAGAGUGCCCGGCUCUACCCGAUGGCAACUGAAGAUGAGGGUUGCGCUCGUUGCGGGACUUAACCCAACAUCUCACGACACGAGCUGACGACAGCCAUGCAGCACCUGUGCGGCGUCCAGCCGAACUGAAGGAAACCAUCUCUGGAAUCCGCGAUGAGGAUGUCAAACGCUGGUAAGGUUCUGCGCGUUGCUUCGAAUUAAGCCGCAUGCUCCGCCGCUUGUGCGGGGACCCGUCAAUUCCUUUGAGUUUUAGCCUUGCGGCCGUACUCCCCAGGCGGGGCACUUAAUGCGUUAGCUGCGGCACCCAAGGGGUCAAUACCUCGGACACCUAGUGCCCAUCGUUUACAGCGUGGACUAC